GUCUUUGGCCAUGCCACCCUGAACAUGCCCAAUCCUGUCCGAUCUCAGAAGCUAAGCAGGGUUGGUCCUGGUUAGUACUUGGAUGGGAGACCACCUAGGAAUACCAAGUGCUGUAGACG
rnacentral:rRNA from 1 species